GCUACAGUUUCAUUUUGGUGAAACACUGCAAAUUCUCUUGCAUUCCCAUAAUGUGGUUCAUAUGCCAGUGUCUAAGGAAAGAGAUCACCCUUCCAGCACAUACUACCAUUCAGCUUCCCUGGAUUGUGGCACAGGACAGGACAAAGAGAAAAAAAUCUAAAACGUUGAAAACAAGAGUCUGAUUCAUCAAUCUAACCACUGAUACCCUAGAGCCGUUCAAGACAGCGAAAGUCUCUGUUUUUCUGCCCUGUAUGGCUGUCUACAGUUCACUUGCUCAUCCCAAACUGCAGUAGAUGUCUGUGCCUGGGUGGCUGAAUGAAAUCCCAGGUCCAUUCUCUUGGCUCUCUGACCAGUAGAAAAGCACAUUUCUCUACACAGCAGCAAGAUUCAAAUGGGACAUUUGCAUGAGAACAGUGCAUUUCCAUUUGUUGCACUUCAAGAAAUUCCAAUGUCUAAAGCCUACUCAGGACCCUUUAAAGGUCAUAAAUGAAGAUGCUAAGCAGUACUGUCCUCAGCAUGAACCUCAAGAGUCAGCUGCUAGUGGCUAGCCCCCAUUUCAUUUCAUUACUCGUGUUGUUUUAUGAAGUCUACCCACCUGAAAGUUACCUGUUUUAUCAGAAUAAAGGAAUUGUCUGCCACUUGCUGCAAGUAGUGAAAUAAAAUUAUCCCAUGUGCUUUUAAAACAUCUUCAGUAUAACACAUGCACUGCUUCAAGUUUGUAGGAAUCAAGAAUCUAUCCUGCAUAACUUCAGUCUUGUUGGAGUUUCCUCCUUGGUGGGGGUAAUUUUCUUCUACUAUAAUUCUGCCUAGCAAAUUUUGAAAGACUUUCCUGAACACACACACAUAUAAAUCAACUAUGGACAAACGUUAAUAAUUUAAGGUCUAUGUGUGCAACCUACUUUGUUAUUUUUAUGCAUGUUUCUCCCUGUUUUGGCCAUUAUUGAGGUCAGAUAUCACUGUUGGCUUUAGGAGUAACCUAGUUCUCUACUUUCCACUUUCUUCCUACUCUCAUAACAGUGUGACACAAUAUUAAGAAAGUAAUCUGUAACAUUCAUUGUAUGUUUGUUCAGCUCCCGGUACCUCCAUUUCUUGAUCAUCUUCUGAAGUAUUAGCUCCCAGUGGAACCAGUAUGACUGAGAGGAAGUUAAAAUAUUGUGACUGAUAUAUGUCAUGCUGUAUCUGGGCAGAUGACUGGACCAGUUUGCAUCAGAUUAAACUGAGACAGAUACCAUUGCUUUGGAUACAAAUCAAAUUUGAAAUAUCUUUUCUGUGGAAUGAUCAACGUUAACUUUGUUACAUAUGAAAAUAUCUGGGCUCAUGAGAACAACUGACAUAAUUGUUUUUGAACAUCUUCCACUUGCCUUUUUCAUUCCCUCGGUCACUGUUUGUGAAGAAGAUACAGUGAUCAAAGGGAACCAACAUAUUUUGGAAUUAAAUCAAAAUGUUUGUUAAUUUUUGCUGUUGGAGAGACUUCUUUUGAGAUAGAAUGUGAUGUAUUUAUAAAUACUUAAAAUCAUUAUUCCCAGCAGCAUUAUUGCAUGACCUUUUAACCAUCUUUUCACAGGAUAACUAUUCUCCAUAUUAUUAAUGAGUAACAAGAGUUGCAGUGAUUUUUAGCUGGCAAGAAAAUCUCUUCAGGAACCCAUCAUUUAUUUAGCUGUAUACAACCUUUUGACCCUUCUUCUGUCUUUAGAUCCCUAAUGGUACCGCUAGUAGUUCAAAAUUGAAACCCCUGUUAUAGAGGAAAUUCUGAUAAUUCAAAUGGAAACAAAAGAAUUACAAAAGCUUGUGAUAAAUGGUCACUGUUACAUAUGCACUGUAAUAAGGAACAAUUACAAAAAUCAGAAAAUUGAACAAAAAGUGUUCUAAAAGUCGCAUUAGUUCCUUAGUACUAAUGCAAUUGUAGCAUCGUCUGUAAUUUCUUACAUUCUCUUCUUCUGAUCAAAUUCUUAAGGCUACCUGCAAAUGAGAAUUCACAGAUAACUCCAAUAAAUCUCUCUUUUGAAGUGUAGCAUUCCAGACUGUUCACAAUGCUGAAAAUAAACUAUGAGUGGGGUUUGAUUUGAUGAGUCAAUAUUUUUCCAACAACAAAUAACUGAAAGAAAAUUUAGGCUGGCUUUGAGUAAUUUGAGGAAUUCAACAGGUGAAAUGUAAAAAGGAAAGAAGAUACAGGAGUAAGUCCACUGAGAACCACCACAAAUAAAACUGAUC
ensembl:lncRNA